rnacentral:rRNA from 1 species
GACGAGGGGUCCUAGCGUUGUUCGGAAUCAUUGGGCGUAAAGCGUGUGUAGGUGGCCAUACAAGUCAGUUGUGAAAGCCCCGGGCUCAACCCGGGAAGUGCUUCUGAUACUGUUUGGCUUGAGUACUGGAGAGGAUAGUGGAAUUCCUGGUGUAGUGGUGAAAUACGUAGAUAUCAGGAGGAACACCGGUGGCGAAGGCGGCUAUCUGGCCAUGUACUGACGCUGAGACACGAAAGCGUGGGGAGCAAACAGG